CUCACCGACGCGGUGGCGCUCGCCGGAGGCUGACUGGCGGCGGGGUCACACGAAAAUGGCGGCACGCGUGUGGCACCCUCCCCGGCGGCGCGAGCAGGAAGGAGGAGGUGCACAGGAGGCGUAGGUGCUACGGUGAGAUGGGCUUCAGAUGUGCAGCCGGCCCUAGCGCUGCAACGUUCUGCAUCAGUGAAGGUUUGUGAUGCAAAUGCCUACUCAUUUACUCUCUUUUUAUUAGUUUCAACUCAUCGUAUUGGUUGGAUUAGCACAUAUUAUCUGUGAUUCCAAUGCCUUCUCCUUUCCUCUGCUAUAGAAUUUCCUCUCUUGUCGAUAAACUUUAGUUUCCAGUACACCUUGGCAGCCUAUCCACUAAACUGCUAACUGGAAACAUCAGGAACUGUAAUUUGACACGCGAAGUGGUAAUUGAAAUAGUAGUAAUGUGAAUUGAUGUGUUGUUUGUUUUUCUUGCGGUUGGGGACGACCAUGAGCCCGCGACGGCGAGACAGAAGCGACCUUGGCUCGGCCGUGUCCGCCUCUCUCAAUUGAUGAUAAUGCUUCUCUACCCAGUUAGGUAAUAAAUGGUGAGACGAGUGUGACCGACGUCAUCGCCUCAGCCAUGCCCGCCUCUCUGAAUUGAAUAUCAUGUCUGGAAUAUCCAAAAAGCUUAUUGAGCUAUUGAUAGUGCUUCUCUACUAAUCGAAGAAGGAAUUUUGUUGUGAAGCUAAAGCCGUGUCAAGAUAAAGUCCACUCUGUCUAGAUUGGAAACAAUUGGACACAUGCUUCACCUGAUAUUCAAAAGCCCAGCAGGAGCACAGCGUGACAACACAUCUUCUAUGCUGCUGGUCAUGAUCGCUUUCAUGAAGCAUAGAAGAGUCGUGAAGUAUGACCUCAACUCUCUAAGGUUCAUCGGCCCCGGUGCUGGGCCACUUGACAAUACAUAUACACAAUACAAGGAAAAGCCUCACAUGUUCCAGUUUGUUCCGAGAUGAGAAGCAAGUUUGUGCUUAAAUUUGCGGAUAACUUAACAUGUGAACAUAAACUAAUUUUCUUCUCCUUUUAUGUCAAAGCUGCUACUAAGCUCUUAAAGUCAAUCCCACAAAGGGGCAUGAGGAAAAAAUUACUAGGUUCCUCUUUUUAGUUCUCAAUGAAUAUUGUAGUGUCAACGAAUGAUGGAAUAAGAUGGUAUGGAUUAAAUUCUUUA